CCCUUAGAUGUUCUGGGCUGCACGCGCGCUACACUGAAGCGUUCAACGAGUGUAUAACCUGUUUCGUCAGAACUGGGUAAUCUUGAAAGCGCUUCGUGAUGGGGAUAGUCGGUUGCAAUUGUCCGACUUCAACGAGGAAUUCCUAGUAAGCGCGAGUCAUCAGCUCGCACUGAUUACGUCCCUGCCCUUUGUACACACCGCCCGUCGCACCUACCGAUUGAAUGGUCCGGUGAAGCCUCCGGAUUGGCGUGCACUCUCGGGUGCUGCCGAGAAGUUGGCUAAACCUUACCAUUUAGAGGAAGGUGAANUCGUAACA
rnacentral:rRNA from 1 species